AAUGAGUUUUGAUAUUUGCUCAGGACGAACGCUGGCGGCGUGCCUAAUACAUGCAAGUUGAGCGCUGAAGGUUGGUACUUGUACCGACUGGAUGAGCAGCGAACGGGUGAGUAACGCGUGGGGAAUCUGCCUUUGAGCGGGGGACAACAUUUGGAAACGAAUGCUAAUACCGCAUAAAAACUUUAAACACAAGUUUUAAGUUUGAAAGAUGCAAUUGCAUCACUCAAAGAUGAUCCCGCGUUGUAUUAGCUAGUUGGUGAGGUAAAGGCUCACCAAGGCGAUGAUACAUAGCCGACCUGAGAGGGUGAUCGGCCACAUUGGGACUGAGACACGGCCCAAACUCCUACGGGAGGCAGCAGUAGGGAAUCUUCGGCAAUGGACGAAAGUCUGACCGAGCAACGCCGCGUGAGUGAAGAAGGUUUUCGGAUCGUAAAACUCUGUUGGUAGAGAAGAACGUUGGUGAGAGUGGAAAGCUCAUCAAGUGACGGUAACUACCCAGAAAGGGACGGCUAACUACGUGCCAGCAGCCGCGGUAAUACGUAGGUCCCGAGCGUUGUCCGGAUUUAUUGGGCGUAAAGCGAGCGCAGGUGGUUUAUUAAGUCUGGUGUAAAAGGCAGUGGCUCAACCAUUGUAUGCAUUGGAAACUGGUAGACUUGAGUGCAGGAGAGGAGAGUGGAAUUCCAUGUGUAGCGGUGAAAUGCGUAGAUAUAUGGAGGAACACCGGUGGCGAAAGCGGCUCUCUGGCCUGUAACUGACACUGAGGCUCGAAAGCGUGGGGAGCAAACAGGAUUAGAUACCCUGGUAGUCCACGCCGUAAACGAUGAGUGCUAGAUGUAGGGAGCUAUAAGUUCUCUGUAUCGCAGCUAACGCAAUAAGCACUCC
rnacentral:rRNA from 1 species